rnacentral:rRNA from 3 species
ACGGGUGAGUAAUAUAUCGGAACGUGCCCAAUCGUGGGGGAUAACGUAGAGAAAUUUACGCUAAUACCGCAUACGAUCUAAGGAUGAAAGCGGGGGAUCGCAAGACCUCGCGCGAUUGGAGCGGCUGAUAUCAGAUUAGGUUGUUGGUGAGGUAAAAGCUCACCAAGCCGACGAUCUGUAGCUGGUUUGAGAGAACGACCAGCCACACUGGGACUGAGACACGGCCCAGACUCCUACGGGAGGCAGCAGUGGGGAAUUUUGGACAAUGGGCGAAAGCCUGAUCCAGCAAUGCCGCGUGCAGGAAGAAGGCCUUCGGGUUGUAAACUGCUUUUGUACGGAACGAAACGGCUCUUUCUAAUAAAGAGGGCUAAUGACGGUACCGUAAGAAUAAGCACCGGCUAACUACGUGCCAGCAGCCGCGGUAAUACGUAGGGUGCGAGCGUUAAUCGGAAUUACUGGGCGUAAAGCGUGCGCAGGCGGUUAUGUAAGACAGUUGUGAAAUCCCCGGGCUCAACCUGGGAAUUGCAUCUGUGACUGCAUAGCUAGAGUACGGUAGAGGGGGAUGGAAUUCCGCGUGUAGCAGUGA